AGUGGGCAUGGUGGGGGUGGGCUGGUGGCUGGACUAGAUAGUCUGAGAAGUUUUUUCCAACCUUAAUGAUUCUACUAUUCUAUUGUCAGGGGUCAGGCAGCUGAUGGUUUGGCUUCCAGAAGUGCCACUUCUAAUGGCUUUGCAGUUCUUCAAGUAACUGGAGUGUCUCACACGUGUGACCAAAGGUAACUGCAUUUCUGUCUUCUCUGAAGCAUCUCAAGACCGGGUACGGUGCCUGGCCAGAGACAGGCAGUCAGAGACGAGAGAUGGACCUGGAACGGAGAGUGGACUUCAAUGUUUCUUGUGUUUUCCGCAUAAUGGAAGGCGCUGAUCAGAGCAGUGGUGUGAAAUACUACCUUUGGCACACACCACGAGCCUCCGAGCUGGUGAAGAUCACUCAGCUGAGAGCACAGGGACAACUUCAUUCGUCAAAUUGCAUAGAAACGAAUGAAGAGUAUAUAUUAUUUGCUUUUAUGUUUGCAGAGCUGUUAAAAAUUCAUGGCCCUGUUCUCCAGGAAAUUCAUCAGGCAUGAAUGAACUGAAAAGUGAGUUUUAUGUUUCAUACGUAUAUCUCGAGGAGAAGUGGAGAGUGGUUGUAAUUCAUGAACUAAAAGUGAGUUUGAUGUGAUCGGCAUUCUAUAACACUGCAUACAUUUCCAUGGAAGUCUAUGUGAAGAUGAAGCAAAGAGAUGAGCCUUUCUAAAAGGUCUUGUUAUUAUGAAACCUCUGAGGAUGUCGCCAAGGAAGAGGUUUAGCAGACCUGUUGCUUCUCAUUUUGGGUUAGAGUUGCAGGCCAUGCUGGGGGGCUGAGGAUGAGAGGUGGGACUCACAUUCGUUCUUUGCCUGUGGCUUGUGGAGAUGCACAAAUGGGAAAGGAAACUAGAAGAUUGCUGAGACCCUCAGAGGAUGUCUGUGUACACUUACUGAUGGGGACAGAAGCUGAUGUAAUUUCCCUUUCAUUGCUAACAUCUCAUACUGUGGUACAGAAAUCAAGGAAUUAAUUACAGCACAUGAUGUGAUGUUUUCCAUAAGAAACCAUGGUCAUUUAGUAGUUAAUCACUGAAGCAAUAAAAAAACAUAAAAUCAGUCCAUUAUAUAUAUUCAAUGUGUCAUUUCAAAUUUGAUUUAUAUUUCAAGAAGACAAAAUGGGACCUGUUUGCUUCAAAAACUAACAACCUCUCCCCACGUCCCUCCCAAAUAAGCCCUAAGAAAUGCCACCAAGCAGAAUGUCCAGUGCUACAAAAAUAGCUGAAAAUUGUAUAUUUUAUUUAGAUAUGUCUUCUCCAGUAAAUUUUGAUCAAUGCAAACAUUAAGAGCAUUAAAUAUUAAAAAUAGUAAAUAUUAAAAAUGUUAAGUCAUAAAAAAUGAUGGAUAGUUUUGCAAAUAAAUGUAGAAGCACAUAUAAUUUU
rnacentral:lncRNA from 1 species